rnacentral:lncRNA from 1 species
GGGCUGACGCAUCGCCGGUGCCCAUCGCUCACGGAAAGCGAACUUGGCGCGCGCGCACACGCACACGCACACGCACACUGCCGCCCGCGCCACGCGCUCCCAACUUGUCCCACGCCCCGGGAGCAGCUCCAUCGUCUUUGAAGUGUUCGCCCUCAGAAACUCCACUCACUGAUGCACGCUUUGUCUGAUUUACUCACGCAGACUCUUUCGUGGGCCUCUGAAACAAGUCUCUGACUCUCUAGGGCACAAAAAAUGAAUGGAUCCAGGGAGCUCUCUGGAAUGCUUUAUUCCUCCAGAUCUGUCAUAAAUAAGAUGAAUGGACAGGAAACAGGAUCCCUUACAUGUUUCUGAACUUUUGGAAUAAUUCAUAUUGGAAACAUGAAGAAAAAGGGAUUGCGGGUGGAGAACUGUCUGGAAAACCAAGGACUCAACAAUAGAGCACCAAGCUUGUAGCUACUUCUCAUGAGGGAUGAACAAUCUUCUCUCUUCCAAAGGAGAGCAAGGAAAAAUUUAAAGAAAUAUUUAAUAUUAAUAAAAAAAGCUCAUUGAGUCUGAAAAAAAAAAAAGAAGAGGGGGAGGAGCCAAGAGUAUGAAAAAUACAUAAAUAUGAUGGAUAUAUGUCAGUCAGUUGAGAAGACUUUUGAGAAGUGGUCUCUUUGUUAGCCUGUGAAAUUGCAGUGAUCACAUACACUUGCAGCUCCCUGGACUCUCACUCUCCCUCACUCACAGCAAGUGCUGGCCUUGGAGGAGAGAUGGAACAAAGGAGCGAGACCUGGAACCCCGGAAAGCACUGACUUUUAAAGAAAGAAAAGGAGACAGCCUGGGGGACAGCAGCAGUUUAAUUCCUCUGGCACUAUUCGACAAUCACAAAGGAAAGAAGCAAGGCUUUUAUACAGAUGGAGAACCAAUGUUCCCUUUCUACCUUUGCCUUUUCUAUCAUCUAUCCUGAGUUGGGAAGAAACAUCCUACCUGCACGAACAGUUACUUGUGGAUUGAAGAAAAAUUAAAGUAAAAUUUAUUUUCCUACCCCUCAAAUCUUGUUUUUUUUUUUUUUUGGUACUGGGGAUCGAACUUGGGUCCUUGCGCUUGCGCAACAGGCGGCAAAACCGCUGAGCUAAAUCCCCAGCCCUACCCCUCAAAUCUUAAUAGCAG